rnacentral:rRNA from 1 species
AACGAACGCUGGCGGCAUGCCUAACACAUGCAAGUCGAACGAGACCUUCGGGUCUAGUGGCGCACGGGUGCGUAACGCGUGGGAACCUGCCCUUAGGUUCGGAAUAACUCCCCGAAAGGGGUGCUAAUACCGGAUAAUGUCUUCGGACCAAAGAUUUAUCGCCUUUGGAUGGGCCCGCGUUGGAUUAGCUAGUUGGUAGGGUAAAAGCCUACCAAGGCGACGAUCCAUAGCUGGUCUGAGAGGAUGAUCAGCCACACUGGGACUGAGACACGGCCCAGACUCCUACGGGAGGCAGCAGUGGGGAAUAUUGGAAAAUGGGCGAAAGCCUGAUCCAGCAAUGCCGCGUGAGUGAGGAAGGCCUUAGGGUUGGAAAGCUCUUUUACCCGGGAUGAUAAUGACAGUACCGGGAGAAUAAGCUCCGGCUAACUCCGUGC